AGUCAGAGCUGUGCAACCUGUCUCUUGGAUUAAUCUUGACUGUCCUGCCCAUAUCAUCAUUUGGGAUUUUCUUGCCCUCCUGUGUUUCACUGGAGAUGUGGCCUCCCACAGGAAUGCUACACAAAAAGUGGCUACUUGAGAAGAAUGUGGGUAAGGAGGACCACAGAACCCAGGAUGGCCUCCUCUGCCUUCUUCCUGCUCUCUGCCACCACACACUGAGGGCCUAUAGCCUGCCCAUCACCUCAAGAUUCCGCAUGUGACCUCAGUGGGUAGUGAUGACAUCAGAGGGUCUGUUGGUUUCCAUGGUAGAGAAUAUAUGUAAACGUGAAGAGACCUGUCUACUGGAUCGCUCCUAAACACAAGUCUUUUUGGUUGUCUAAAAGAAAUGAUUGACCAGAUCAUCUAUCUUCAGGCUAACUUGUCAUCUGUCCCAUGGGAGGGCAGAGCAGCAGGAGCAAUGCUGCCCACAGCACCUCCUAAACCUCUUUACUACCAUGUCCUCUACCGAGGACAUGGAGAAACCCAGGUGAGCUGGCAUGGAGAAACCUACUGCCUGGUUGGUGGCUACAGGGCCUAUGGGGAUGCUGCCAUCCCCACCCCAGCAAAAUCCACUCCAGAGAAGUCAGCAUCCCUGAGGGCCUAUGGAGAUGCUUCCACUGCCACUGCUACAAAGGCCAAAGCUGAACAGCCAUCAUGCAAGCGGGCUCUCAAGAGACCUCAACACAUGGGAGAAUAUAAUGAACACUUAGGGUACCCCAGGCCCAAAAUGCGUUGCUUGAACAAUGGCAACAAGGACCAACAACACAUUGUUGGUUGAGCCAUGCCAUUAAGACUUAGUCUAGUAGAGGCCUAGUCUACCAGAUGGACUCCUGACUCCAUCAUAAGCAGCAAUCACCAGCAUAAACAAGGAUAAUAUGGCUUUCUUAAAUUGUGCUCUCAGAAAUACCCGCUAAGACUUCCAUCUCCUUUCUUCCCUGCCCUUAAUAUCCCCUGAGGGCUUCUCAUUGUUGAAUAAAAUUAUUUUCUGUAACA